rnacentral:lncRNA from 1 species
ACCGUAACUUUUCCUUCGAGGACGAUUGCUUCUUUGUCCAGUUCUUCCUCUGUUGAUGUUCUUAUUCAAUAAGAUCUAUCUCGCUAUCUUCCUACAGCGCUUCAAGCUGCUUUUUCGGCUGUAGGGAUCUCAGGUAAGUCUUCCUGUUGGCAUGUAGACUAUGCUGCUUUUAAUCAUAUGACGAGUCAGUUAUCUUUGUUUCGUAAUUAUACUUUGAUUCAAAAUGUCAUUGUUGAAGUUUCCAAUGAGAAAUGUUUGCCCGUAUGUGGGAUUAGUCACGUUCAAACUGCUACUUUGGAGCUCCAUCACACUCUUCAUGUCCCUUCACUUGUUACGAACGUGGUUUCAGUUGGUGAGUUGACAGAUAAUGGUUGUGUAGUAACUUUCUCUCCCUCGGGUUGUGCUAUAUAGUACCCGAGGAAGCAUAUAAGGAGAGGAAGUAAGGCUGGAAGGAAUUUCUAUCUUGAUGAUUUCGGCGAGGAGGGGACUCAACGAGAUUCAUGUUUUUAACUUCAUCUAGUAGUAUUUCGGAUAAUAGUUUGGUUCAUUUGGAUAUUGAUAGUAGUUUGGAUACUUCAGCUUUUUUGGGGCACACAUACUUAGCUAAGAAUGUUAUUCGUACUUAGAAUUUAUGGCACUACUCGCACUGCUCGGUGUUCUUUUAAUGGGUAUAAUAAUCAUAAUAAAGGGUACUUAUGUUA